GCUUGAAUGCUGACACACACAAACACACAUUCACUCAGAGAACACAGAUGCUGUUUCCCUCUUCCUCUGCUCCAUUUCCCCCCAGCUGAAGCGGCAUCUAUAAGACCUGGACUUCUCAGUAUCUUGCAAAGUUCUUGGGAACGUCUGUAGCUGGCAAGUUGUUGGAAAGCAAAUAUGUCUCUGCCAUUGUCCUUCCUGAUAUGUCUGUCAGUCUUCAACCUGUGUUUGGGAACUGGGCCUGUGGAGGAACUCAUUAUACCCA